ACUACGGGAGGCAGCAGUGGGGGAUAUUGCACAAUGGGGGAAACCCUGAUGCAGCGACGCCGCGUGGGCGAAGAAGGAUUUCGGGAUGUAAAGCCCUAUCAGCAGGGAAGAAGAAAUGACGGUACAUGAGUAAGAAGCAGGGGCGAAAUAAGUGCCAGCAGCCGCGGUAAUACGUCUGGGGCAAGCGUUAUCCGGAGUUACUGGGGGUACAGGGAGCGCAGGCGGGACGGCAAGCCUGAUGAGAAAGCCCGCGGCCCAACCGGGGGACUGCAUUGGGAACUACCGGGCGGGAGUGCCGGAGAGGUAGUCGGUCUUCCUAGUGUAGCGGUGAAAUGCG
rnacentral:rRNA from 1 species